rnacentral:rRNA from 1 species
AUUGAACGCUAGCGGGAUGCUUUACACAUGCAAGUCGAACGGUAGCACGAAGAAAGCUUGCUUUCUUUGGUGACGAGUGGCGAACGGGUGAGUAAUGUAUCGGAACGUACCCAGUAGCGGGGGAUAACUACGCGAAAGCGUGGCUAAUACCGCAUACGCCCUACGGGGGAAAGGGGGGGAUCGCAAGACCUCUCACUAUUGGAGCGGACGAUAUCGGAUUAGCUAGUUGGUGGGGUAAAGGCCCACCAAGGCGACGAUCCGUAGCUGGUUUGAGAGGACGACCAGCCACACUGGGACUGAGACACGGCCCAGACUCCUACGGGAGGCAGCAGUGGGGAAUUUUGGACAAUGGGGGCAACCCUGAUCCAGCCAUCCCGCGUGUGCGAUGAAGGCCUUCGGGUUGUAAAGCACUUUUGGCAGAGAAGAAACGACUCUGGAUAAUACCCGGGGUUAAUGACGGUAUCUGCAGAAUAAGCACCGGCUAACUACGUGCCAGCCGCCGCAGUAA